CCCUUCUUUCUCCGCGGCCCUUCGGCGCGUGAGUGACAACGGCCCAGACAGAGGGGGCGAUGUCCGCGGCGUGACUGGGGCCGGUCGCGGGGCAGACGAAUCCCCUGCUCCUGGCCAGGGGAGGCUCCCGAGCGGAUCCUCAGGAAAGAGGCUCCAAAGGUCAAGAAAUUGCCCGGCGGGGCGUUCGGGGAGAAGGAAAGUAAAGCACUUUUUGUAUCCCGCCCCCUCUCCCAUCACGUGACCACGCGGGGCGGAAAGAGGAAAUCCGAGGACCCGGCGACGCCCAGAACAGGAGCCCAUGAUGCUGCCCAAACCUGGGACCUAUUACCUCCCCUGGGAGGUCAGUGCAGGCCAAGUUCCUGAUGGGGGCACACUGAGAACAUUCGGCAGGUUGUGCCUCUAUGACAUGAUCCAGUCCAGAGUAACACUGAUGGCUCAGCACGGAUCCGAUCAACACCAGGUUCUUGUCUGUACCAAGUUGGUGGAGCCCUUCCACGCCCAGGUGGGCUCCCUGUACAUUGUCCUUGGGGAGCUCCAGCACCAGCAGGACGGAGGCUCCCUGGUGAAGGCGCGUGUGCUGACCUGCGUGGAGGGGAUGAACCUGCCCUUGUUGGAACAAGCCAUCCGGGAGCAGAGGCUGUACCAGCAGGAGCGGGGCGGCGGUCAGUAGGAAACAGCAGCCCAGCAACACCCCCACCUGCUUCCAAGGCCAAACCCUCUGGAGCUGCAGGAGCCCCAGAGAGCACAGACGCCUCCCCAGCGACCGCCUUGUCUGGAGCCGAAAGCAGAGGGGCGGAUGGUGAAUCCAGCCCCUUCCCCUACUUUGGGAUUAGCUCAUCAGUGAGAGCCCAGAAAGCAUGCCAUAAAUCCGACAGCCCCACCCUGGGAGACUGCAGGCAGCUCCGUGGCCAUGGAUGUGUUCCAGAAGGUAGAGAAGAUCGGAGAGGGUACCUACGGGGUGGUGUACAAGGCCAAAAACAGGGAGACAGGGCAGCUGGUGGCCCUGAAGAAGAUCAGACUGGAUUUGGAGAUGGAGGGCGUCCCAAGCACU